GAGUUUGAUCUUGGCUCAGAUUGAACGCUGGCGGCAGGCCUAACACAUGCAAGUCGAGCGGUAGAGAGAAGCUUGCUUCUCUUGAGAGCGGCGGACGGGUGAGUAAUGCCUAGGAAUCUGCCUGGUAGUGGGGGAUAACGCUCGGAAACGGACGCUAAUACCGCAUACGUCCUACGGGAGAAAGCAGGGGACCUUCGGGCCUUGCGCUAUCAGAUGAGCCUAGGUCGGAUUAGCUAGUUGGUGAGGUAACGGCUCACCAAGGCGACGAUCCGUAACUGGUCUGAGAGGAUGAUCAGUCACACUGGAACUGAGACACGGUCCAGACUCCUACGGGAGGCAGCAGUGGGGAAUAUUGGACAAUGGGCGAAAGCCUGAUCCAGCCAUGCCGCGUGUGUGAAGAAGGUCUUCGGAUUGUAAAGCACUUUAAGUUGGGAGGAAGGGCAGUAAAUUAAUACUUUAGCUGUUUUGACGUUACCGACAGAAUAAGCACCGGCUAAC
rnacentral:rRNA from 1 species